rnacentral:rRNA from 1 species
CUAAUAAUUCUCUAGUGGCGCACGGGUGAGUAACACGUGAGUAACCUGCCCCCGAGAGCGGGAUAGCCCUGGGAAACUGGGAUUAAUACCGCAUAGUAUCGAAAGAUCAAAGCAGCAAUGCGCUUGGGGAUGGGCUCGCGGCCUAUUAGUUAGUUGGUGAGGUAACGGCUCACCAAGGCGAUGACGGGUAGCCGGUCUGAGAGGGUGUCCGGCCACACUGGAACUGAGACACGGUCCAGACACCUACGGAAGGCAGCAG